rnacentral:rRNA from 1 species
GAUGAACGCUGGCGGCGUGCCUAAUACAUGCAAGUCGAGCGAACAGAUAAGGAGCUUGCUCCUUUGACGUUAGCGGCGGACGGGUGAGUAACACGUGGGUAACCUACCUAUAAGACUGGGAUAACUUCGGGAAACCGGAGCUAAUACCGGAUAAUAUUUCGAACCGCAUGGUUCGAUAGUGAAAGAUGGUUUUGCUAUCACUUAUAGAUGGACCCGCGCCGUAUUAGCUAGUUGGUAAGGUAACGGCUUACCAAGGCGACGAUACGUAGCCGACCUGAGAGGGUGAUCGGCCACACUGGAACUGAGACACGGUCCAGACUCCUACGGGAGGCAGCAGUAGGGAAUCUUCCGCAAUGGGCGAAAGCCUAACGGAGCAACGCCGCGUGAGUGAUGAAGGUCUUCGGAUCGUAAAACUCUGUUAUUAGGGAAGAACAUACGUGUAAGUAACUGUGCACGUCUUGACGGUACCUAAUCAGAAAGCCACGGCUAACUACGUG